rnacentral:rRNA from 1 species
GACGUAGGGCGCGAGCGUUGUCCGGAUUUAUUGGGCGUAAAGAGCUCGUAGGCGGCUUGUCGCGUCGAAUGUGAAAACUCGGGGCUCAACCCCGCGCUUGCAUUCGAUACGGGCAGGCUCGAGUUCGGUAGGGGGAGACUGGAAUUCCUGGUGUAGCGGUGAAAUGCGCAGAUAUCAGGAGGAACACCGGUGGCGAAGGCGGGUCUCUGGGCCGAUAUUGACGCUGAGGAGCGAAAGCGUGGGGAGCAAACAGG